rnacentral:tRNA from 1 species
GGCGUUGUACUUUAAUAUAAAAGGUCUGGUUUGCAUCUAGGUAAUGGGCGGAUUAGAGCUCCGGCGCUC